AGCGAACGCUGGCGGCAGGCCUAACACAUGCAAGUCGAGCGCCGUAGCAAUACGGAGCGGCAGACGGGAGAGUAACACGUGGGAACGUACCCUUUGGUUCGGAACAACCCAGGGAAACUUGGGCUAAUACCGGAUAAGCCCUUACGGGGAAAGAUUCAUCGCCGAAGGAUCGGCCCGCGUCUGAUUAGCUAGUUGGUGGGGUAAUGGCCCACCAAGGCGACGAUCAGUAGCUGGUCUGAGAGGAUGAUCAGCCUCACUGGGACUGAGACACGGCCCAGACUCCUACGGGAGGCAGCAGUGGGGAAUAUUGGACAAUGGGCGCAAGCCUGAUCCAGCCAUGCCGCGUGGGUGAUGAAGGCCCUAGGGUUGUAAAGCCCUUUCGGCGGGGAAGAUAAUGACGGUACCCGCAGAAGAAGCCCCGGCUAACUUCGUGCCAGCCGCCGCCGUAA
rnacentral:rRNA from 1 species